UGGGGAAUAUUGCACAAUGGGCGCAAGCCUGAUGCAGCCAUGCCGCGUGUAUGAAGAAGGCCUUCGGGUUGUAAAGUACUUUCAGCGGGGAGGAAGGGAGUAAAGUUAAUACCUUUGCUCAUUGACGUUACCCGCAGAAGAAGCACCGGCUAACUCCGUGCCAGCAGCCGCGGUCAUACGGCGGGUGCAAGCGUUAAUCGGAAUUACUGGGCUUAAAGCGCACGCAGGCGGUUUGUUAAGUCAGAUGUGAAAUCCCCGGGCUCAACCUGGGAACUGCAUCUGAUACUGGCAAGCUUGAGUCUCGUAGAGGGGGGUAGAAUUCCAGGUGUAGCGGUGAAAUGCGUAGAGAUCUGGAGGAAUACCGGUGGCGAAGGCGGCCCCCUGGACGAAGACUGACGCUCAGGUGCGAAAGCGUGGGGAGCAAACAGG
rnacentral:rRNA from 1 species